rnacentral:rRNA from 1 species
AGUGAACGCUGGCGGUAGGCCUAACACAUGCAAGUCGAACGGCAGCACAGUAAGAGCUUGCUCUUACGGGUGGCGAGUGGCGGACGGGUGAGGAAUACAUCGGAAUCUACUUUUUCGUGGGGGAUAACGUAGGGAAACUUACGCUAAUACCGCAUACGACCUACGGGUGAAAGCAGGGGAUCUUCGUACCUUGCGCGAUUGAAUGAGCCGAUGUCGGAUUAGCUAGUUGGCGGGGUAAAGGCCCACCAAGGCGACGAUCCGUAGCUGGUCUGAGAGGAUGAUCAGCCACACUGGAACUGAGAAACGGUCCAGACUCCUAAGGGAGGCAGCAGUGGGGAAUAUUGGACAAUGGGCGCAAGCCUGAUCCAGCCAUAACGCGUGGGUGAAGAAGGCCUUCGGGUUGUAAAGCCCUUUUGUUGGGAAAGAAAAGCAGCAGGUUAAUACCCCGCUGUUCUGACGGUACCCAAAGAAUAAGCACCGGCUAACUUCGUG